UUGGGAUGGAAGGUGUGGGGGCGGAGAGGGUGGGGGUAUGAAGGAGGUAGGGAGGGGCUUCGGGGAUAGGACGACUGAUGCUGUGAUUGCGGGAUGGGAUCCUUGGCCAGAGUCUGGCGGAUUAAUGCGGGUGGUUUGGGCUGUCCUCCUUCGCACAGCGGUACACGAGGGUCGCCUGCUCCAUUCACACCAUCGUGAUGUGCACCACCGCCGCUUUCUGGGCUCUGGGAUAUACCCCGAGCAAUACAUAACUAGCGGGGAUAUGCACAGGACGUAAGGAAUUCACACGCACGCACUCACGCACACUUAACUAACAUCCACAGAUUGCAAGUCACGCUUUCCGUGAUAUUUUAUUGCAAAGAUAAUCUACAAUGUGUCGUCGGAUUCUAGGCGGCGUGGUAAUCCUAAUAAUAAUGAGUUCGAAGGAGCUCGUGAAGUCACGUGUUAUAAGUGGUAUUGCAACCUUCGCAUUCCGUCGGCCAGCGCAUUAAUACUAUUGGAGAUAUACCAGCGCAGCUUGGUAAUGCAGUUUGUGUGGUAUGCUCGUGUAAAUAAUAACUCUGCUUGUUUCAUCAAUUGGAAGCGGAAGCUUCAAGUGACACCGGGCGUCAAAAAUCGCGUUUUCAAUGGAAAUAUUUCCCAUGCAGCUACAAUGUCCCGCUACUUCUUGUCGCGCGCCUCGUUGCGAGAAAACGUGUCUGCGUUUACAUGUCUAAUUAGCACCGCUCUUAACAAGAUGCACAGAUGUUUACGGACUUUCCCCAAAACGAAUCCAUGUAUCUGGUGCUCGCACUGUGCCCGGUAGGAAUUGCGGCUGAAGACGCCAUCAGGUGUAGAUAUGUAAAAAACAAAAAAAUACAUUAUCGAUAACACCGUUUAGAUUGGAGUAGCAAAUAUCUAAACUCAGCAAAUACAACUCUUGAUAAUUAAAACCAAAAAGAUUUAAAUUUAAUAUCAUAAUAUUCACACCAAGUAUGUACUUCUAUCCGGAAAAAAUAUAUAGCCUACAUCUUAAUUAUUCCUCGAAUUCAAUAUCAUAAAACUACCAAUUUGGAAGGUCGUGCAUUUAGGAGUCGACCAGGCCAACACUGGCACCUUGUAGAGAAGCAAUGGGAGCGCCUACUCCUGUCCCUUCACUAUCCCUGCGAGCAUGAGCCAGCAGAUUUCGUUUGUGCGUCUCUCGUGAACGUUAACACCGAGGGACCCGCUUCGAACUUUGGCUGUGACAAUUGCCUGCCCGCGCCCUGGAUCAGCAACUUGCAUCAAGUUUGGGAGGAUAAAAAAAAUGCUUUACCUAGCCCAUACGUGCAUUUGUGAAUAUGUAAAAGGUAAAGGCGCAGCCCUGCAAUUACGUGCCCAUACCUAUUCUUCUUGCGGAAGGGCCUCCACCAGGGGGAGCUCCUGUAAAAGGGUAUUUGCCCUACUAUACCAUGCUUGUCCGAUUUAGGAGUACCCACACUUUACCCCACCACACACGACCUGCUGAUCUACUAACGCUAGUGUACCCAUUAGUACUGCUCAGGAGACAGAGGCACGGGGAAGAUUUUAAGAAACCCACACCAUUGCUUCAAGUACCUCGCCUGGGGACAGAACUGGCAACCACUGUAUUGCAAGUUCAGUGUGCCAUUUCCAUUGCGCCACGGCAGCAUCCCCAUGAAUAUGGAACAAAACACACAUGGUUAUUUAAGGCGACAUUAUAGCCAUGGUAGGAAUUUGAUUGAGGGUUUAAUAUAAAAUGGGUCAUCUCUACCGGGUGCGGUGGUGCACGCCAGUUAUCCAGCACUUUGGAGGCAAAGGUUGAUGGAUAACACACGUGUGAAACUCCCAAACUCACUGGGCUGCAGAGUGAAAAGGAUAUGGCAGUACAGCAGGAUUAUUGAAUUCACCUGUGCGGAGAUUUGAGCGUCUUCCCCUCGUAUGUCUGGCCUCUCUCCAAGUGUCAUGGUUUCCUCCCACAUCCCACUCUCAAAUUGAAUUGUUCAAACAUGGCAAUGUAGAACCUUUCCGAGUAUUACGACUAAUUGAUACUUUCCUAGAUACAUUUGAUUUUUGCUUUUAUAACUACAUUAUGGCACCAAUUAAGAUGUGUACCGCUUUGUGGGAAGUCAAAAUAGCUUGCUCUAUGGAAAGACCGUUCGUCAUCACUCUCAUAUAGAAGCGCAAUCACCACUUCAAUACUGCGAAACCAAAUGAGCCCUGCCAUUUAGGGGCCAGCCUCUCUAAAGGACCACCACUGUUGACUUUGCACAAAGUAGUGUCUAUUUUAUCGACCCAGCAUGGGUGGUUUAGUGAACUCUAGACCGAGAUUUGAGUUUCAACCUGUAAAAUUUGAAAGUGAAUGCGCCUGAUCCCGGCAACUAAGCAGAGUUAAACCUGGUUAGUAGUGGGAUGGAGGAAGUGCCUGGGAGUAAUUGAUGUUGUAGGUUUGGUUGGGCUGUAAUUUGUCCAGGAGAUAGCAGCACAGCAACUGAUUCUUGAAUAUUUCUGUACGGAGAUUUCUUUGUGUAAACCCAAUCGUAUUUGUGCGGUUUUUUUUGCUCGGUUUCCUCCCACAUGCCAGACACUCGUCGAUGGAAUUGAGGAAAUAUCCCCGAUGCAAAGACCCUCCUGCAAAUCAAUCUUGAUGCUCGGCGAGGCUUUCUGUGGUAAAUAAAUGGUAAAUGUUAUUUUACUUUACAAUUACGAAUCGAGCACUCUAACUUGCGGCGCUACCCCAGCCGCAACGGAGAAAUGGGUAAAACAUUGUGUGAAUUGGGUUGAACAUGUGCGGCGGAAUUAGUUUUGUAAGCUAUUAGCGCACAUAAUCACGAGUUUAUGAAAAAAAAAGUUAACUCGAGCAAAACGACUACGGUAUGGGCGAAAUUUUUUGAAUGAUGACAGUAUAUUAAUCGCUUUCUCCAAUUACAAAACCGUAUUUAAUUGAUAAUUAAUAGUUUUGGCAGGAGUAAAGCAGGUUUAAAAUACUUUUUUGCAACAGGCCAUUGAGCAUCCAAGUAAUGGUUGCCAGUGAUCAACGCAACACAUUGACAGCAUGAAUUAACAUUGCAGCACAAAUGAGGAGAGUCCUUUUCCAUUACAUUCUGGCAGUCGAAGCCAUCAAUAAAAAAAUGAACAAAGUACACUGAUAUGUUAAGGCGAUAUCUAGUAUUGUACAGAGCAAAACCUGCCACUCUAUUAUAUAAAUACCAUGUAUUUAUAGCACCGCUACAGAUGUAUAAUCACCACGUACACACACUCUUGAGGUAGGCAUUUGCAAUGUCCAUGCAAAUCAUGGACGUUGGUUGGGGGAAUUAUUAAAAUGCAGCUUCUCUGCUGAUCAAUGUAAUCCGCGGUUAUGGGCUUCGUGCAUGGUGUCCCUUAGACGCGAAAUGGAUUGCAGGGAAAGGGUGGGACAUUCGUCUUGCGGGAUAAUAAAAGCUUUGGGAGCGCAGAUUCAUCGUUUGUAGAUACAGCUGCAACGCUCAGGAGGCAUUUUGAUGAGGUUAUGCAGGGUAAAUGUAAUUGAGUGUUCAUUAUGUGUCUGUACCUGCCCGCACCCAUGCAUCGGAACUCUGCAAGCUUGGGAAGCAAGGGGAGGGGUGGAGGAGGAGAGGUGGGGGCGGCGGUUGCGGGGUCUUUUGGUGUUCCCUAACCCCUAAAUCCUCCACGGGCGAUCCGUCAUUUUCAAACGGGAGCGGAAUGGAUGUGAGGUCGGGCGGAGACUUGAGAGCCUCACUCCAGAGCCUCACCCCCAAAUGACCUCCAUCCAACUUCUCCGGCUGUGUCCUGAGACAGCUUAAGAGGGGGUGCAUGGGGAGAAUCGUGGCUGGAUAUGCUGCUGUGCGUACCGGGUGUAAGCGAUUAUUUGCCUGGUUAGGGCGCAGAUUAUCCACGGGUAAUGUAGCUUCACGGCCACCCGUUGAAUGCUCAGCAUAGACCGCAGUUAGCCGGGCUAAUGCAUAGCUUUGGGAGCGAGAUGUCAUCAUAAUAAUAACAACACAAUGUACUAUCGAGAUUUUUUUUUACGAUUACAGAAGGUUAUGGCAUUGCACGAAUGCCACUGUCUGUGAAAUUGUCAUUGUUCAUUGAAUUGUACAAUAGCAGCCAAAGCCAUUUACACGUUUAAUUUAUCGUGUUAUAUAAUUACAUGAGGAAGUAGCAUUGUUUCGGGAGAGAAAGCCGUCUGUUCUGUGAUGUAUUGGAUCACAAUAGCAUUAGUGCUCAGCACUGGAUGCUUCGUUAUGAACUUACCUAGAGUCACUUACCGUUCUCGAUAAAUAUAAACGUAAGCUCUGUUGUGAGUAGUGGACACAAUGGCACGUACACCUGGGUAUGGGUCUUCGGCUAAUCACCAUAAUCAACAUUAGCAGUCAAAAUCAUGAUCGAACGUGAUCCAGGAGUCCGCCCUGAACUGUACUUGGGCACUUAGCGCCUCUAGUGAGACAUUUUAUCCGUGCACAAUUAGCAAAAAGAACCCACACCGUUCGUCAAUAUAACACUACCUUAAAAGUGAAAUACUCUACCGUGUGUGUAUAUAAUAGGCGGCAUUUAGGGCAUUUGCCCUUGUAGAGGGCACGUGGAUAAAGAGGCCAGCGAUGUAAAGUGGAUGAGAGUUGGAGGCUGCGCUCUACUAUAACAUAUACACAGUUCACCAAAAUAAUGUUAAUCGACUCGUGUGCGCGGGAUACGAGUGUGAAAUCCGUGCAGCUAGUUUGUCUUCAACUUUGAUCAACACGACGUGGCACGCAGUCUCUCUUGCGAGGCGCUCAAUAUAUAUCGAGUAUGGGUAGGCAGCGUUGGUGUCACCGGGUAGCAAGACCCACUUGUCUGGUCAAUGCCGUGUGAACGUCUUCUGCUGGCUUUUACAAGUCCAGUGAUAUAUGUUGUAUGAGCUGGGUUGAUGCUACGUGGGUGUGUGGGUUGAUGCUGUGUGAGUCGAGUUGAUGCUGUGUGGGUGUGUGGGUUGAUGCUGUGUGGGUUGAUGCUGUGUGGGUCCGUGAGUUGAUGCUGUGUGGGUGUGUGGGUUAAUGCUGUAUGGGUUGAUGCUGUGUGGGUCUAUAAGUUGGUGCUGUGUGGGCCUAUAGGUUAGUGCUGCGUGGGUCUAUAGAUUGGUGGUUUGUGGGCGUAUCCUCAUGCUAGAUUUGGGUAAGGACGUGUUAAACGUAAGCACCCUCUUUACUCCCCGUUGUCUUGAGUUAAAAGGCUUAAAAUGUAAACCUGACUGCAACCUUGUGUUCAUGAUCAGUCCAUCACAUAUCCAGUUGAGAUGACAGCACAAUUACUGUUUAUUAAACACAGUAGUCCGUGAUGCUGCGUUGACAGUGCUGCACAAGCAAAUAAAAACACCACUUCUGCAUCGGUUUGCCGCCUGAAGAAGGCCCUUGCACAAUACGUCGCCGAUUAUUACGUACUUUUGGACUUUAAGAGAGCGUUGUUGAUGCGUGUGUUGCGUUAUUGCUUUUUAGUUUAUUGCUCGAUCGUUUUUUUAUUGUUUGUUGUAACUUUCUGACGCGAACCCACUGGACAUCCGUGAAAAAGAGCUUCAAAGCUCGUCGGAGUUCUCCAAGAUAAAUAGAUAUUCUUAUUCUGUUUAUGUCUUUAGUACACACCUUUUUACUUAACAAGGUAUGCAUCUUAAAGGACUCUCACCUCGUUAAUAUUUCACUAAAUACAAUCUUCGAUUUAGGUCUGCUUCUUAAAGAACGCUCACCUCGUUAAUAUUUAACUCAAUACAUGGGGUUCACAACGUGUCUCCAUCUACAAGAAUUGGGACAAUGCAGUUGGUCUGAGAAAGUCGUGAGGAAUUCCACGUUCUCGUGAUAGGGGUCAAUCUACUUAAAGGAUGACCCCUGUUAACUUACUACAGAGUGGCAUGGGCCUUUGCAUGCAUUUAAACCCAGAGUGAUUUUGGGAUUUGACCUCACAGUCAUCGAUCUAGGCACUAUAAGCACCAUAUAGGCACUAUAAGCACAAUGCCACUCCACCGUAUCUCCAUGGUACGUGUGCACUGAUGUAAAACGUACCCGCGCCGACUAUGUGUAAACAUUGGUCCUGUAAAACUGUUGAAGCGAAAUUAAUCAAUUAAAGUUUAAAUGGGUAGACCAUGCCACAAGAAAGGCCGAGGAGAGACAAAAGAAACGACGGAGCAGAGACCGAGAGGAGGCGACGGAGCCAGAGGAAGACGCCUGAAUAGACAGCACCAGCGAGACGACAUCAUCGGUCUCGGAGGGCGAGACCGAUGAUGUCGGGAAAUUGCUGACUGACAAUGACGAAAACAACAGCUACACUCAUCGCAAAUCAUAUGUAAGUCGUACCUUGUGAUAAAUGUUAAUUGGACAUAUUUCCACCACGGGAAUUGUGUUGACAGCUCAAGGAUAUACACGUGGCCAGGAAUCGGCGUAAGGCAAUUGAGCAGCUACUUAACGUGUACGUUUGCAGUUGACCAUCACAAUUGUAACGUAAUCAGUGAUACCAUGGAUUUGUGAACAUUUGCUGUGUGACUCAACAAUAGGGGAUGACAUUCAGUAAAGGGAUAAUCGUUGUCCCGAUCGUUUUCCCCAAAAUAAACUUACAGAGUGUUGAUUUUUUUUAAUGAGGGUCCUGAAAAAUAUGGCUUGUUGGGUACCUGUUAGGGUGGCAAAUGCUAACAUUAAUUUUCUCGAAGACGCUGUCCUGUUGAUCACAAAUACUUAUGAUAGCAAGGUAGCUAUUGUAGCUUUGUUUCAGAAUAAUAUACACACAAUGGUGCCAAAGUGUAUUUGGUAGGGAAUAUCGUUUGCAAGAAAAUAAAUGCGAUAUAAAACAUGCACACAAUCUGAAAACAAAUAGGGCAUGUAAUCUACAAAAUAGGCAGUAUGUAACCUACGAUUUCUAUUAAUGGUGUAUACUGCCCAUGGCGGAUGCUUGGAGAAUUUGCUACCGUUGGCUCGUGGACUUAAGAGUUACGAAGCGAAGAAAUGCCUGCGCACGUGGGUUUGCGAGAUGAGCUCGCCUUCCCCCAACCCAUCCGCGCCAGUAGCCCCGAGAGCAAUUUUAUCGCGGUAGUUCAUUAAAGGGAAACGUUAAACGGAAGCGUUUUAAAUCAAAAGUGCGGCCAUACGAAUCACUCUAAAAACAGGUGCGCGCACAACAAAUGCGCGCGCGCACGCGUUGUACCGCGCACGUCACCGAUAGCCAUCAAUCAAGUUUCACUCAAUAAAGCGCAACUUUAAUUAGCUCAUGCGAAAUCUACAAUGAGAUUUAAUGAAUACGGACGCGCGCGCGUGUUUUUGUUGUUGUUGUUUAAGAACGGGCGCAAUUACCGGGCGUUUAGUGACGUCAUUAAUUCCGCUUGUUAAUUCAAUCUUCAGAACCGGUUGUUUUUUUUUUCCGUGAAAGGGGUUGGAUGGAGGGAAGGACGAUGUGGAGAGCGAUAAUUGGUGAAAAAUGUUUGGGCUCAGAAGUGAUGCUUCGCUUUAUGUCCAUGUACGUGUGUGUCUAUGACGGUACGCACUGUUGCCUGCGCGGUACGCGCGCCAACCUAUAGACCCGCACGGAACCAACCUAAAGAGCCCUGGCAAUGGACGAGGUGAGGGCGGGGGGGGAGUGCCCGGGCAUCGCUGCUCAUCGGCCAGAAGAGCGCGCUCCCCGGCACGCCGACUCUGUCUAUCGCUCGAUCGCCACCGCUGCUGAGGUGGUGGUGGGGGGACCCCCACGCAGCGCUCAGCCACCUCCUCCACUGCAGCGUGCCAACGACCACUGAGACAAGGUCGCGCGUCAGCUUCGUUCAAUGACCGCUAGGCGGCGCUGUGCGUUGGAGGCACCGUGAACACGAUCCAGUCCAUUCAUUUAUUGAAUCCCAUGGGGUUAAAUGGGCUGCAAACGUGAAGCUUUAUAGAAGAGCAAUGUCUGUUGAAAAGGGGACUGACCAACAGAAGCUUCUGUCAUAGCUUCAUGAAGAUGGUGAUCAUGUGCAAGAAUUGCACGAAGAUUGCAAGCUUCCCUGUAUGUUUAGAGGUCUUGGAAAGGUGUGCCCUUUGGCAACAUGGAGAAGCAUUGGGAGAAAGUAGCACUGCUGAUUGUUGGGAUGAACCGUGCAGACUCAUCUUAAGGCAUCAGAUGCACUGUUAACAGCACGUCGCUUCCAUUUUUUUAGCAGUCAAUGUAUAGUAGGAGGGAACUUAAUGGUAGAGCAUGUUGGCAGCAAAUGGGUCACUUUGGCACAAAACAAAGAAUGCCAUCAAGGUGGUAUCUUGUGACGCCAGGGCCUGUUGGUCAUUUCCUUUGACGUAGAUGCGUUGACCAUUUGAGGUGAAGUGGCAAAUGGACGACUGUGGGGGAACGGUUAUGGAUGGGGAAGCCAAUAAUUCUGCAAAUGGCCUCGUUGUUGCUGAUGUAUCUUCCUUGGAAAAAAAAGGUUAAGCUCGUGCACACUUUUUUGUAAGGCAAAGGCAGCCAUGUCAGAGCCUUUAUUGAUGUAUUUGCAAACAUAUUUGAUGGCUUUUUUUAGAAGAGCAGAAUUUCACGUUAAAGUGGGCCUGGAAGAUAUUGCACAGAAGAGGGCAGUAGGGAACGAUCCACCGGUUGUUAGCCUUAAUUUCCGAGUUAGUGGCAGGUCUGAGCGUUGUUUGAAAUCUAACAUAGCCAUUAUGGGCAAACUGGGUGUUUCAAGUAGUUCCGUGGAUACCUCUUGGUACACCUGUUGUCUUGCAUACAUGGCGCAUUUGGAUAGAACUGGCCACAUGGGCCAUGGAGUAUUUGAUUGCAGACCACAUAGAAAAGGGCAGGGUCUUGAUGGGGGUGAGGUAGCUCAGCACUGAUAAAUGUUUCGAUGUGACUUGCAUGAAUUGUUUCCCUCAUCCAUAGCGAAAUGUGAGGAUGAGGCGACGACGUUUUUGCCACCCAAUGGUGUGCAAGUUACUGUGUCUAUCCAAAGAGGCCGCCUUCGUUGGUCGUAAUAAGCAUAAUGAGGUAAUAAACUUUGAGUUUUAAGACCCUCGCUAAGAUGUCCUGUCUGUCUGGUGGCUUUUGGUUUGGAUAAAUGUAAACCUGGAUCUCCUUUCAUUUGGGAUUGCAAGUGAAGGUGAUGAAAAGAUGGGGCGUGCCAUAUUGGCUGAUGUACGUCAUGGCAUCCCGAGUCUUCUCAUGCAUGUAUCUUGGUGGCGCUGUAAAGGAUGAAGGCAAAAUAACUAAUCAGCCCACAUUGUGACCAUUUGCAUCUUCUUUGGCAUUGAUGGCGUCCCAGAAAUGAGCAUGCUGGUCACACGCAGGCAGUUUUGAUUCAGUUGAAUGCAAAGAAGGUGCUCACUCUCAAUGUUGGCAUACUCAUCGACCAACAUUGAAAGAGGUUGGCGUACCAUAAUGUGGUUUCCUCCUCUGUCCAUGAUCACGAAGGAAUAUAACAUUUUUUAGAGGAGACAGUUUUGUGAGGAUGUCUUUGUCCUGCAGCUUUUCAAUUGGAGAACUUGACGUGGCACCCAUCUUGGCCUUGCGACAGGAAAAUGUGUUUUUGUAGGGCAUCGUAUGCUCAGUUAGUGUCAGGAAAUUGUGCGAUGGUUUUUUUUUGGUAUGGAAGAACAAUGUCUCUCAAUGUUCCUCACCCACCGUAAGAAAGCAAGGUCAAAAAUAUUUGGGGCAUUGAACCUCCCUGCGUGCUCUCCACUUUGGAAAGUAAGGUUGCGGUACGGCAAAAUUUUAAUGGGUAAUGUUCCCACGAAUGUAAUAAAACUAUAGACGAAUUGCAAUGGGCUGUAGCUAAAAGUCCAACGUAUUUAGCAGUCUAAUAUAUUAAUCAGCAUCGCAGUACUAUAGUGUGAUGUGAGCAAUCGAAACAAUAGAAAUGCAUUGAAGAAAUACGCUGAAAUACGUCUACAUUAAAGAGCAGCAAUACGCACGGGUAUGUUGAGAAGCAGGUUACAGUCUAGAUUAUAGACUGCCAGUACGGCGACUUAAUGACAUAAGCAUUGCUACAGUCUACAUAAAAAGCUGGCAAUACGAUCGGUAGCUGAAAAAGCAGGAUACAGUCGACAUGAAAGGCUGGCGGUACACAGAGUGAGGUAAAGAAGCAGGCAAUAGAUUAUAGACUGGCAUACACUCAUAAUGGCCAAAAGCAAAAUUAGCAGUGUAGAUAAUAGUGCCAGUGCACCUGACGUUAAUAAUCAGCAGGCCACAGCACAGACUGGCAGUACACCGUCGCAGCAUCAUAAAAACACACCUAAAAAUAAUUAACAACCUAAUAAUUAAAUAUUAGUUAUCUGCACGCAAGCAUUAUUGUAGCGUAGUAUCUUCUUUGGUUCUUUCGGUAAAGUCACGUAGAAUGAGAAUAAAAUAAUAAAUUGAUAAAAUAAAAUAA